UAGGGAGACCAUAUUUUUUUCUCUUAAAUUUAAACAGGAAUAAAAAAGAAGAGUGUAUUUUUUCCUCCACUUUAGUUCCUCCAGUUGUAUUUCCUUGUCAAUCUGAAAAUUAGUUUGAAAACACAUAAGUUAGAAUUUACCAAAAAAUGAACUAUAUUUAUACUUUGGGCAUUUUACUUUUAGAUAUCUAUAAUUACAGUUUUUAUUGUGUCCUUUUUGGAGGAAAAACUCAUAUUGGUGGAUAGAAUAUUAUCUUUAAUCACCACUGCUGCUCUUACCUAGUGAUUAGAAUUUUAUUUUUACCCCAAAAUUUUUGUUUUGGAUUAAAUUUUAAUUUUUUUUAAUUUUUCUUUAAAGUCUCACGAAUCUUGAUGUCACUUGAGACUUAUUAUACUGCAAAUGAUCCCAAAAGCUUAGGGAGUUAAUAGCCUUUCCUAUUUCCAACUUAAGUGCACUGCUUUUGCUAUCUGUAAAAAAGGACGUUGUACAUCCACACGUGUCUGUCUGUGUACAUACUCAUACAUUUAUGUAAAUCAGUGUCCAGUUAAAACUAUCUAAAAUGUUUGGUAAAUAGGAAAGGAUUCCAUAUAUACAUAUAAUGUUUAGAUGACCAGGUAUCUUGCUCUGUUUUGACACUUCACAAUUGCUAUGUUUAUUAUAAGGCUUUUUUAUCCAUAAUUUAAUGGAUUCUGUUAAGUCUAAUGUAAAAAAGAGAAUGAGUGGUAUAUCAAGUUUUACUGAGAAAAAAUAGAAAAUCAUUUUACUUACUAGAAAUAAUUAUUAAAAUGAGAUGCACAUUUCACUUAAAAGUUGUUCUCUUAAGCUAGACAUGGUAGUAUGAACCUGGAGUCCCAGCAUCAGGUUGAAGUCAGGAAUUUGAGGCUAGCCUGGGCAAUAUAGCAAGACCCUGUCUCUUAAAGUUAAAAAAGACAAAAAGUUCUUCUCUUGAUUCAAUAUGAAUUUAAUUUGUUUGAUAGUACCCAUUCAGUUCAAAACACAUGCGUAUCUCAUGAAUUGCCACAUAAUCAUAUGUAAUAUGGUUUUAUUUCACAGGAAAGGUCCUAAACUGCUUAUUACAUUAUGGUUUUAAUGUGUUUAAAAUGAUAAUUCAGUGUGGGAGAGAUGAAUAUUUUUUGAUUUGUACAUUAGUAUUAAUAAAUAGCUUCAAUUAUAUUACAAUAAUUUGAUAAUCUGAGGCCAGUAUUUCAGUUAGUCUUUGAUAGCAAAGUAAGUUAUGUGGGAUCUUGCCUUUAAGUUCAAAGGUUAACUAAAUAGUUCAGUGUGUCAUGACUGCGAACUAGCUUUGGUCUGCUUUGUUGGUGUUUCUUACUUUCAAGACAUAGGCAUCAGUGCUUUUCUCACAGGGAGCACAUCCUUUGAAUAAAUCAGCUACAUCACUGGAGAUGUGGCUGAACUUAGAUAAAAAUCUUGCUUCUCUGUUAAUUCCCAUGUUUACACUGAUGCUGAUAGGAAUGAUGGAAUGCAGUUACACAGACAAGUAGUGUGUAAUAAUCAUUAGUAAGAAUUGUUCUUGACACAUACACCCCAGCAUUCAAAGCAAGUUAUUUUGUGAUAUGGGGAACAUUUUACUCCAAAGGAAGUAGGAAUAUUUUCAAGGUAAUGAUAAUAUCCCCACUAAGAUUUUGAAACUAUUUUUUCAUAUGAUUACAGAUGGUCCCUAGGUCACUAUAGUCAUUAACCUAUUAUCACCUAACAGAACUUAAAUUAUCUGGUUUAAGUGAUGGUUCAGAGGCCAUCACUAAGUCUUAAAGACAUCUUUUUAGAAACUCCAUCAUCCUUAGGUAGUUCUAAAAGGGAAAUAAUAGACAGAUUAAGACGAAAGACAAGCUUCCUGGGAUGACUCAGUUAUAGGAAAUGCCAAGGAACGGGCAUUUAAUUAUAAUAUACUAAUUUUACAUCACAACAUUACAUAAUUACAAAAGAGGAUAAUGUGUAUACAUUUUUAAAAAAUUAGCAUUGCAGCAAUGCAUUUUAAAUGUAUUGGGAGGAAUAAGCUAUAGUUUACAAAUUUGAGCUCUGAAAAUAGAGGAAGAUGAUGGGGAUUCAUUUUUUACAUUUCCUUAUUUUAAAGAUUAAAAAUUUUACUACUUUCUUCUUAAAGGAAUUCCAGUUUACAAAAAUUAACUUGAAACCAAGGUAAUGUAGGAUCAUAAAAACGGGGCCAGAUGCCUUCCUGAUUGUCCUUAACAUAGAACUGUCAUGGUGUACAGAUGGGCUUCUUUGUGAUCUGGGAGACCUUUGCAUCUGGACGUGAACAGGCUCAAAAUAUGCAUUGACUUUUCCUUUACAGGGAUUUGCAUCUUUUCUAUACCGUAAGAGAAAUGUUCUGUCUUUCCCCUCUAUGUCGACAGAUCUCAGUUUGCGUGGAUGGUUGUUUUUUAAAACUCGUUUUGCUCUAAAAGCCAGGUAUUUAAAAACCUGUGUGAUUUCUUGUUUCUAGACCACCGUUUCCCUACUGCCAUCUUGCUCCUAUUCUUCCUACUUGCCAAAUACAUCACCAAGUAGCAGCCUUUGCCAGUAUGUAUUCCUAAUUUCCCAUCUUGUGACUUAUUACAGGGUAUUCUGUUGUAAAUUAGCAGUUUAAAGUGUUUAAAUAUGUUUGUAAUUAUAGUUCCUUUUUAAUUAUAGAAAAAUUCCUUCUUUCCCUCUCUCUGAGUGUAUUGAUUUGAAAUGUAAACUGGUAAAUCAUAACAUUGAGUGAAACACUCUGGAUAAAGAUGAUUAAGACAAAACAUCUCAGCCAAGCAUUUACCUUAGCACAGUUCUCUUGUUUAUAGCAACCUAUGCGGAUAAUCAUUACUGAAUAAACACGAUGGCUUUGUGCCUAGAAAUG
rnacentral:lncRNA from 1 species